AAUUUUGGACAUUGGGGGAAACCCUGAUCCAGCCAUCCCGCGUGUAUGAUGAAGGACUCCGGGUUGUAAAGUACUUUUUGCAGAGAAGAAAAGGUAUCUCCUAAUACGAGAUACUGCUGACGGUAUCUGCAUAUUAAGCACAGGCUAACUACGUGCCAGACGCCGCGGUAAUACGUAGGGUCCAAGAGUUAAUCGGAAUUACUGGGCGUAAAUAGUGAGUAGGCGGUACGGAAAGAAAGAUGACAAAUCCCAGGGCUCAACCUUGGAACUGCAUUUUUAACUGCCGAGCUAGAGUAUGUCAGAGGGGGGUAGAAUUCCACGUGUAGCAGUGAAAUGCGUAGAUAUGUGGAGGAAUACCGAUGGCGAAGGCAGCCCCCUGGGAUAAUACUGACGCUCAGACACGAAAGCGUGGGGAGCAAACA
rnacentral:rRNA from 1 species